rnacentral:rRNA from 1 species
CCUACGGGUGGCUGCAGUGAGGAAUAUUGGUCAAUGGGCGCGAGCCUGAACCAGCCAAGUCGCGUGAGGGAGUACUGCCCUAUGGGUUGUAAACCUCUUUUGUCGGGGAGCAAAAGCCGGACGUGUCCGGCUGUGAGAGUUCCCGAAGAAAAAGCAUCGGCUAACUUCGUGCCAGCAGCCGCGGUAAUCGGGAGGAUGCGAGCGUUAUCCGGUUUUAUGGGGGUUUAAGGGUGGGCAGGGGGGUUUUUAAGUCAGCGGUAAAAUCGUGGGGUGCAACCCCAUCCAGACGGUGAUACUGGGGAGCUAGAGUGUGCUAGCGGUAGGCGGAAUGCGUGGUGUAGCGGUGAAAUGCAUAGAGAUCACACAGAACCCCGAUUGCGAAGGAAGCAUACCGGUCCACAACUGACGCUCAGGCACGAAAGCGUGGGUAUCGAACAGGAUUAGAUACCCGAGUAGUC